rnacentral:lncRNA from 1 species
UUUUUGAGGACUUGGGAGAUCUCAACAGCUUGGUUGGAUUGGAUGAAGGAGGCGGUUUUUCCUAUGGCCAAAAAGAUGAAUACGAAAGGCUUUCUACUGGCAACGUCUCUUUGUUUUGCAACCCCCCUGAUUUCUUUGAGUUGCUUGACCUAGAGGUGCCAUUAUCUUGGCAGACUAAACAUGAUGGCUGAUUUAUUUGAGUUGCUUGACCUAGAGGUGCCAUUAUCCUGGCAGACUAAACAUUAUGGAAGUUGGGGAAAGAUAAACAAGCUUAGAAAAUUGAGGAAGUGGAGACAGAAUUUGGCAGAACUAUAUCUGCAAGUACCUAGUAUGGACUAGAGAAAACUAUAGAUUCUCUU